rnacentral:rRNA from 1 species
CAGUCGCCGCGGUAAUACGGAGGGAGCUAGCGUUAUUCGGAAUUACUGGGCGUAAAGCGCACGUAGGCGGCUUUGUAAGUUAGAGGUGAAAGCCUGGAGCUCAACUCCAGAAUUGCCUUUAAGACUGCAUCGCUUGAAUCCAAGAGAGGUGAGUGGAAUUCCGAGUGUAGAGGUGAAAUUCGUAGAUAUUCGCAAGAACACCAGUGGCGAAGGCGGCCAACUGGUCCGAUACUGACGCUGAGGUGCGAAAGCGUGGGGAGCAAAUGGGAUUAGAGACCCCCGUAGUCCCUGUCUCUUAUAC